AACGGCCUCUCCUCAGAAGAUGGACGCGCACGUGGGCGGACCCGCGCCUGAGGGCCGCCAUGGUUGUGUCCGUCCUUGUGGCGAGCGAGCCAAGGACAGGGGAGGGGCGGAGAUGCACCCGUCGUCCUGGUGGCUGUUCGGGACGAGCACCUUGGGCGACGGCCGCGGCCGGCGGGAGGAGCUCGGCAUGCCGCAGGAAGAAGAGAUGGUGGUCGCCUGUCCGGAACUGUUGUUGCCGGCGCCGGCGACGUCCCCGAGCUGUUGCUGCCAUCCACGACUCGGCCAUGCUGCUGCCGACGACCUCCCCAACCUGCAGCUGCCCUCUGAGGCUGCUGUUGGGGACAAGAAGCUUGGGCGUUGGCUGCGGCCGGCGGGAGGAGCUCGCCACGCCGCAUGAAGAAGAGAUGGUGGUCGCCUGUCCGGAACUGUUGCUGCCGGCACCGGCGACGUCCCCCGACCUAUUGCUGCCUUCCACGACUCCUUCAUGCUGCUGCCGACGACCUCCCCGACCUGCAGCUGCCCUUUGAGGGUGUUCUGGAGCAGGGGAGAGGCCGAGGGGGUGACUUUGGGUCUGGGCAGUGAUGACCAUCCCAACCAACUUGGCCAAGCACCAAGUCAACCUGCAGGUGGCUCCCAUCAUAGCCAAGAUCAUGGCGAAGGUCAACGACGGGUCCUAGUGAAUGUCAUGAGCUCACCAUGCUGCAACCGUGGUGGCGGUGACGCUCAUCCUCGUGGACGACCUCUUAGAGCUCGAUGCUUUGGAAGCCAAUAUGGAGUUCAAAUCGAAUCCAGUCCCAUGUUACCUUCAACCAGACUAGGAGUGGUCAUGUAGCAGCCC